rnacentral:rRNA from 1 species
UACGGGGGGAGCAAGCGUUGUUCGGAUUUACUGGGCGUAAAGGGCGCGUAGGCGGCCACCGCAAGUCAAUUGUGAAAUCUCCGGGCUUAACUCGGAAAGGUCAACUGAUACUGCGGGGCUAGAGUGCGGAAGGGGCAACUGGAAUUCUCGGUGUAGCGGUGAAAUGCGUAGAUAUCGAGAGGAACACCUGCGGCGAAGGCGGGUUGCUGGGCCGACACUGACGCUGAAGCGCGAAAGCCAGGGGAGCAAACGGG